AUACCUCCCGCAAACGAAGUUUGGGGGGGUAAAUACGAAUCACCUUGUCCGUCUGUCCGUCCGUCCGUCUGUCUGUGCAAUCAUGUCCGGUCCAUAUCUUUCUUACAGAGGGACAUUAGAAUGUACUACUACACAGUAAGAUUGCUCAUGACCUAAGAGUUUGUCAUGACCUUGACCCAAGGUCAUUUGGGAAAGUUCAAGGACACUGGAAGAAAAAUUUCAUAAUUCAUGUCGGGUCCAUAUCUUUCUUAUGGAUAAACUUGGUAGGUUCUCAUUUUACACAAAGAUUGCCCAUGACCCAAGGGUGUGUCAUGACCUAGACCCAAUGUCAUUUGAGAAAGUUCAAGGUCAAUGGAAGAAAAAUAUCAUAAUUCGUGUCCGGUCCAUAUCUUUCUUAUGGAUAAACUUGGUAUGUUCUCAUUUCACACAAAGAUUGUCCAUGACCCAAGGAUGUGUCAUGACCUUGACCCAAGGUCAUUUGGGAAAGUUCAAGGUCACUGGAAGAAAAUUUUCAUAAUUUGUGUCCGGUCCAUAUCUUUCUUAUGGAUAAACUUGGUAGGUUCUCAUUUCAAACAAAGAUUGCCCAUGACCCAAGGGUGUGUCAUGACCUUGACCCAAGGUCAUUUUGGGAAAUUGAAGGUCACUGGAAGAAAAUAAACAAUAAACUUUACUGAAGCAAAUAAAGUAUAAAAUUUGGACCUCCUCCCUAAAACUUAAAAAACAUUGACGGAUUUGACCCCACUAUCAUUGUUUUUAUUAUUUUCAUUUGUUUUCAUUUUUUUUCUCCUGUUUGUCAGGAAAUUGUGGGCUGGAUUUUUUUUACUGAGAUGUGAACCCCCCUCCCCAGUACUGAAAAAAAAUUCUGGAUCUGCAUCAGUAUUGGCAGUAACUGAAUGUCACAUCGACAACGGCAGAUAACUUCACUAUAUGAAAUUUGUCUAGUGUAGCAGCGAUGAUCUUUGACCCUUUUUGAACUUUAACCUAUAAUCAUUUGAAUUUAUUUUACCCCCACUAUACUUAAACUUGUACUUACUGACUGUCAUACUGGUCUCGUCAACUCCAUGAAAUAUAAUCCAAUUAUAACACAAAAUGAAUUAAUCCAAUACACACCAGACUGCAGCAUGUGCUUAUGCUAUCCCAUUCGGCAAACCUUCAUCCAUUCAGUCACCUUAUUAGAUGAAGUGGGAAUCGACAGAGGUAGGCCGAAUGGUGUUUAAUCUAAAAAUAUGAUAAUGGAUGAUGCAACCCAAUGUAAUGUAG